rnacentral:rRNA from 1 species
GACAGAGGGUGCAAACGUUAUUCGGAAUUACUGGGCUUAAAGAGUUCGUAGGCGGCGCAGAAAGUAGGGUGUGAAAGCCCUCGGCUCAACCGAGGAAUUGCGCUCUAAACUACUGUGCUUGAGGAACCUAGAGGUGAGCAGAACAGAUGGUGGAGCGGUGAAAUGCGUUGAUAUCAUCUGGAAUACCGGAGGCGAAGGCGGCUCACUGGGGGUUUUCUGACGCUGAGGAACGAAAGCCAGGGUAGCGAACGGG